UACAGAGGCCUCGAGCGUUGUUCGGAAUUACUGGGCGUAAAGGGCGCGUAGGCGGUCGUGACAAGUCACUUGUGAAAUCUCCGGGCUUAACUCGGAACGGUCAAGUGAUACUGUCGGACUAGAGUACAGAAGGGGCAACUGGAAUUCUCGGUGUAGCGGUGAAAUGCGUAGAUAUCGAGAGGAACACCUGCGGCGAAGGCGGGUUGCUGGGCUGAUACUGACGCUGAGGCGCGAAAGCCAGGGGAGCGAACGGG
rnacentral:rRNA from 1 species